rnacentral:pre_miRNA from 1 species
CCUAGAUGAGGAUGAUGAUGAUGAUGGUGAUGAUGAUGGUGGUGGUGAUGAACAUUAACAACAUCAUCGUCAUCAUCAUCAUCAUCAUCAUCUAGG